UGCCCUAGUAACGGCGAGUGAAGCGGCAACAGCUCAAAUUUGAAAUCUGGCGUCUUUGGCGUCCGAGUUGUAAUUUGCAGAGGGCGCUUUGGCAUUGGCAGCGGUCCAAGUUCCUUGGAACAGGACGUCACAGAGGGUGAGAAUCCCGUACGUGGUCGCUAGCCUUUACCGUGUAAAGCCCCUUCGACGAGUCGAGUUGUUUGGGAAUGCAGCUCUAAAUGGGAGGUAAAUUUCUUCUAAAGCUAAAUACUGGCCAGAGACCGAUAGCGCACAAGUAGAGUGAUCGAAAGAUGAAAAGCACUUUGGAAAGAGAGUUAAAAAGCACGUGAAAUUGUUGAAAGGGAAGCGCUUGCAGCCAGACUUGCCUGUAGUUGCUCAUCCGGGUUUCUACCCGGUGCACUCUUCUAUAGGCAGGCCAGCAUCAGUUUGGGCGGUUGGAUAAAGGUCUCUGUCAUGUACCUCCUCUCGGGGAGAACUUAUAGGGGAGACGACAUGCAACCAGCCUGGACUGAGGUCCGCGCAUCUGCUAGGAUGCUGGCGUAAUGGCUGUAAGCGGCCCGUCUUGAAACACGGACCAAGGAGUCUAACAUCUAUGCGAGUGUUUGGGUGUCAAGCCCGAACGCGUAAUGAAAGUGAACGGAGGUGGGAACCUUUCGGGGUGCACCAUCGACCGAUCCUGAUGUCUUCGGAUGGAUUUGAGUAAGAGCAUAGCUGUUGGGACCCGAAAGAUGGUGAACUAUGCUUGAAUAGGGUGAAGCCAGAGGAAACUCUGGUGGAGGCUCGCAGCGGUUCUGACGUGCAAAUCGA
rnacentral:rRNA from 1 species